rfam:Paenibacillaceae bacterium GAS479 genome assembly, chromosome: I
AGUACCUUUAACUCAGUCCAGAGAGGCUGGCAAGGUAGCGUGAUUAUAAGCCGUCGUCCGGAAGUAGCUUUAAACCAGCACGGAGUGUGAACCAUGUCCGCUGGCAGCGCCUUGUUGCGCUUGCCGCCGUACAUGCUUGCAUCCGCGACCGCUGGGCGGCUUCCGCGCGGCUUAUACCUUCCCCUAUCUCCUUGCUGAGCAACUCGGCAGGGAGAUUUUUUU